UUUGCUUCUUCCGCCUUCUCGUUUCUAUUGUUCUACGUGUAGACUUUUAGAUCAAAUCAAGUUUUGAUCUUUUCUCCAAUAUCACUGUACAUAUGAUAUUCAUGUAAGACCCACUAAUCUUCUUUAUCAAAUCCAUUUUGUUUUCGAUUGUUAAUCUCCAGAAGCCUUUUAUAAAAAUAUUCCAUCAUGUUCCAUGGGAUGAUCUCAUCAUCUCAAAUUUGUUAAUGCUUUUGUCAAACCCAUAUACUUCAUUACUUCUUGUCAACAUUGCGUAUCCACCACCGCCGUUCGUAUCUAAUCAGCUCUUCCAACUAUCGUGUGUCGUGGGUGGCGAUGUAUUGUGAAUUUGUGAUAUUAGUAUUAUCACGUCGGAUGUCAAGAUUGAUUGAAGUAGACUGAUCGUGAAUGAUUGCCUUUAGAAGUAAAGGAGCUCAAGUGUUACCGUUUAGUCUUUUAUAAUAUUCGUACGGUUGUAAACAGAUCACCUAGUAAUUGAGUUGUAAUAGUUUGAGUUUUGUAAGCCUUAGCACUUGACAAUGUGGUCAAGUGUGGCAGUGAUACCUCCGAUUUAGGUGUAAGCUUCCGCAAAUUUUUAUAAAGUCAUAUUAUUUCUUAUUUA